GGGGAUUUAGCUCAGUGGUAGAGCGUUUUGCCUAGCAAGCGCAAGGCCCUGGGUUCAGUCCCCAGCUCCG
rnacentral:tRNA from 1 species